GGGCGGAUUAGUGGCGAACGGGUGAGUAAUACGUGAGUAACCUGCCCUUGACUCUGGGAUAAGCCUGGGAAACUGGGUCUAAUACUGGAUACUACCUCUUACCGCAUGGUGGGUGGUGGAAAGGGUUUUACUGGUUUUGGAUGGGCUCACGGCCUAUCAGCUUGUUGGUGGGGUAAUGGCUCACCAAGGCGACGACGGGUAGCCGGCCUGAGAGGGUGACCGGCCACACUGGGACUGAGACACGGCCCAGACUCCUACGGGAGGCAGCAGUGGGGAAUAUUGCACAAUGGGCGGAAGCCUGAUGCAGCGACGCCGCGUGAGGGAUGACGGCCUUCGGGUUGUAAACCUCUUUCAGUAGGGAAGAAGCGAGAGUGACGGUACCUGCAGAAGAAGCGCCGGCUAACUACGUGCCAGCAGCCGCGGUAAUACGUAGGGCGCAAGCGUUGUCCGGAAUUAUUGGGCGUAAAGAGCUCGUAGGCGGUUUGUCGCGUCUGCUGUGAAAGCCCGGGGCUCAACCCCGGGUCUGCAGUGGGUACGGGCAGACUAGAGUGCAGUA
rnacentral:rRNA from 1 species